rnacentral:rRNA from 1 species
UACGUAGGGUGCAAGCGUUGUCCGGAAUUAUUGGGCGUAAAGAGCUCGUAGGUGGCCUGUCGCGUCGGCUGUGAAAACUCGGGGCUCAACUCCGAGCUUGCAUGUCGAUACGGGCAGGCUAGAGUUCGGCAGGGGAGACUGGAAUUCCUGGUGUAGCGGUGAAAUGCGCAGAUAUCAGGAGGAACACCGGUGGCGAAGGCGGGUCUCUGGGCCGAUACUGACGCUGAGGAGCGAAAGCGUGGGGAGCGAAUGGG